GGACCAGGCAGUACCUGGGACACUUCUUCAACCUCCUCUCCUUACUCUUUGUUUCCAGAUCCUGCCCCNNNNNNNNNNACCUCAUCUCUACUAAAAAUACAAAAGUUAGCCGGGCGUGGAGGUACACACCUGUAGUCCCAGCUAAUCAGGAGGCUGAGGCAGAAGAAUCGCUUGAACCCGGGAGGCGGAGGUUGCAGUGAGGCUUGAACCUGGGAGGUGGAGGUUGCAGUGA
rnacentral:lncRNA from 1 species